ensembl:lncRNA
AUGGACAGAAUUUCUUUUUUUUUUUUUUUUUCAGAAUUUCAUGACAUUGUACAGGAGACAGGGAUCAAGACCAUCCCCAAGAAAAAGAAAUGCAAAAAGGCAAAAUGGCUGUCUGAGGAGGCCUUACAAAUAGCUGCGAAAAGAAGAGAAGCAAAAAGCAAAGGAGAAAAGGAAAGAUACACCCAUCUGAAUGCAGAAUUCCAAAGAAUAGCAAGGAGAGAUAAAGCCUUUCUCAGCGAUCAAUGCAAAGAAAUCGAGGAAAACAAUAGAAUGGGAAAGACUAGAGCUUUCUUCAAGAAAAUUAGAGAUACCAAGGGAAUAUUUCAUGCAAAGAUGGGCUCGAUAAAGGACAGAAAUGGUAUGGACUUAACAGAAGCAGAAGAUAUUAAGAAGAGAUGGCAAGAAUACACAGAAGAACUAUACAAAAAAGAUCUUCACAACCCUGAUAAUCACAAUGGUGUGAUCAGUCACCUAGAGCCAGACAUCCUGGAAUGUGAAGUCAAGUGGGCCUUAGGAAGCAUCACUACAAACAAAGCUAGAGGAGGUGAUGGAAUUCCAGUUGAGCUAUUCCAAAUCCUAAAAGAUGAUGCUGUGAAAGUGCUGCACUCAAUAUGCCAGCAAAUUUGGAAAACUCUGCAGUGGCCACAAGACUGGAAAAGGUCAGUUUUUAUUCCAGUCCCAAAGAAAGGCAAUGCCGAAGAAUGCUCAAACUACCACACAAUUGCUCUCAUCUCACAUGCUAGUAAAGUAAUGCUCAAAAUUCUCCAAGCCAGGCUUCAGCAAUAUGUGAACUGUGAACUUCCAGAUGUUCAAGCUGGUUUUAGAAAAGGCAGGGGAACCAGAGAUCAAAUUGCCAACAUCUGCUGGAUCAUGGAAAAAGCAAGGGCAUUUCAGAAAAACAUCUAUUUCUGCUUUACUGACUAUGCCAAACCCUUUGACUAUGUGGAUCACAAUAAACUGGAAAAUUCUGAAAGAGAUGGGGAUACCAGACUACCUGACCUACCUCUUGAGAAACCUAUCUGCAGGUCAGGAAGCAACAAUUAG